GAGAGAGAGAGAGAGAGAGAGAGGAAGGAAGGAAAGAGAAAAAUUAUAAUUUCUCAAAUCUCCUCUCCCGCACGCACCACGCGCCUCCGUCUCCUUUUUGAAUUCGUUUAUUUUUAUUAAUUUAUAUUAUUUUUUUCUUUUUCUGCUUCCUUUUCUUUUCGUUCUUCUCCCUGUCCUUCUCACUCGCUC
rnacentral:miRNA from 1 species